ensembl:lncRNA
GUCAUUGGAGUCAUUAAGGGUACGUAACUAGGGUACAUAACUAGGGUAUUGGAGUCAUUAAGGGUACGUAACUGGGGUAUUGGAGUCAUUAAGAGUACAUAACUACGGUAUUGGGAGUAAUUAAGGGUACAUAACUAGGGUAUUGGAGUCAUUAAGGGAUAUGUAACUAGGGUAUUGGAGUAAUUAAGGGUACGUAACUAGGGUAUUGGAGUCAUUAAGGGUACGUAACUAGGGUAUUGAGUCAUUGGAGUCAUUAAGGGUACGUAACUAGGGUACAUAACUAGGUCAUUGGAGUCAUUAAGGGUACGUAACUUGGGUAUUGGAGUAAUUAAGGGUACAUAACUAGGGUAUUGGAGUCAUUGGAGUCAUUAAGGGUACUAAUUAAGGGUACAUAACUAGGGUAUUGGAGUCAUUAAGGGAUAUGUAACUAGGGUAUUGGAGUAAUUAAGGGUACGUAACUAGGGUAUUGGAGUCAUUAAGGGUACAUAACUAGGGUAUUGGG